rnacentral:rRNA from 1 species
UACAGAGGUCUCAAGCGUUGUUCGGAUUCAUUGGGCGUAAAGGGCGCGUAGGUGGUAUGGUAAGUCGGAUGUGAAAUCCCGGGGCUCAACCCCGGAACUGCAUUCGAUACUGCUGAGCUAGAGUACUGGAGAGGAGAUUGGAAUUUACGGUGUAGCAGUGAAAUGCGUAGAUAUCGUAAGGAAGACCAGUGGCGAAGGCGGAUCUCUGGACAGUUACUGACACUGAGGCACGAAGGCCAGGGGAGCAAACGGG